AUGAAGUUCAAUAGAGAUCGGCGCCGCAGCCGUGAUUCGAAGAAAGCAGCUUGUUAUGGGGAGGAAAGGCUAAGCGAGCUGCCAAGUGAUGUUGUGGUCAAAGUCCGUGAGACGGUGAAAACACAGUCGAAGAAAGCAGCUGGUAAUGGGGAGGAAAGGUUACGCAAGCUGCCCAAUGAUGUGCUGGUCAACAACAUCCUCGAGACGGUGGAAACACAGUCUGCCAAAACAGCUGGUAAUGCGGAGGACAGGCUAAGCAAGCUGCCCAAUGAUUUGCUGCUCAACAUCCUCGAGAGAGUUGGUACCCUUGAUGCUGUAAGAACCUGCAUCCUUUCGAAGAAAAUGCAGAAGCUGCCAACUAUGCUCUCGCAAAUUGUAAUUGAUCUUAGCCCUCGUGAUUUGGUUCAAAUGGAUGGUGUUGUGGCUGAUGUGACGGAUAAGAUCCUUAGUACGAGGUCUCCACAGAUCACCGUUCGCAAGCUGAAGCUCAAAUUUUUCUUGGUUCCCUCUCGCUGUCUCUCCAUCGGAAAAUCGGUCGGCCUCGCCAUGGCGACCCAGAAGUUGGAUGCAGCUGAGUUUGAGAUCAUGCCACUGAGGGAUAACGGAUGUUGCACUGAUGCCCAUCGCCUGCUCUUUGGUCAGCAGUUCAAUGAUUUUGUUCGUGAUUGCCAGGAUGCAUUUGCUGGUCUCACGCGGCUGGAUCUACGGUUUUUGAGGUUUGGUGAAUCGGACAUACCCAACAUUCUUAGCACCUGCAAGCAGCUCGAGUCCCUGUCUUUCUUCGAGUGUGAUGGGGGGUUCCGCUCGGUGCUGCAUGUAGAACACGCUCGACUCGUUGAGCUUGUUAUCACCUUUGGGGAAUUUAAAACAGUGGUGCUUGACUGUCUACCAAAGCUCCAGCGGAUGACCUACAAUCAUUGGCCCUGUGAUGAAAAUCCCUUGGUUCUUGGUUUUGUCCCUCAGCUUUGGAAGCUCAGUCUUGCUAAUGCAAACCUUUCAGGCAAGAUCCUCAACUUAAGCAAGCUGCUUGCUAGUGCCCCCACAGUAAGCGAUUUGUAUCUGGACUUUGUAAGCGAAAAGAUUUGGGUUCAACCAGAAUGCCCAAAAGUCCUUGCUCCUGUGCUUGCCAAACUCCGAUUUCUGAAGCUGGAUCACCACCCCGAAGAAUGUGAUAUCUCUUGGACAAUGUUCGUUCUUGAAGCUGCACCACACGUAGAGGAGCUCUGCAUUACAGUAUGGGACCAUAAGUGCCGAAUGGAGUCACAAAAGAGUUUGUCCGAAAUAUCGGAUGUGAAGUGGGAGCCAUCUGAUCCUCAUUUUAAGCACAAGAAUCUGGCGAGGCUAAUUAUCUAUGGCUUCCAGUCCGAUGACAAUUUCACGGGAUAUGUCAUGCGUGUAAUUCAAGCUGCGGUGAACAUCAGGGAGGUAUCCCUACACGACAGGAAGGUGUGCGAAUUUUGUGCCGAGAAGUUCCCUCACAUGGAGGUUCGUCCUUCGAGUUAUCCACGGACCAGCGAGGAGGUGGAUUUGUUGAGGAAGAAGAUGACAGCAGGGUCAGCGACGGCUUCUCCUGAUAUCCACUUCCGCUCAUAA
rnacentral:rRNA from 1 species